CAUUUCCACCUGAGUUUAGGCAGGGUUA
rnacentral:rRNA from 1 species